GGUGAGAAUCCCACAGGCCGUAAACCCAAGGUUUCCAGGGGAAGGUUCGUCCGCCCUGGGUUAGUCGGGACCUAAGCUGAGGCCGAAAGGCGUAGGUGAUGGACAACAGGUUGAUAUUCCUGUACUACCGAUAACCGUUUGAGAGAAGGGAUGACACAGUAGGAUAAGCUAAGCACACUGUUGGUUAUGUGUGCCCAAGCAUUGAGGCAGUCAAAGUAGGCAAAUCCGCUUUGAUAAUGCUGGGAUGUGAUGGGGAGCGAAAUUUAGUAGCGAAGUAGCUGAUUUCACACUGUCAAGAAAAGUCUCUAUCGAGGUUAAAGGUACCCGUACCGCAAACCGACACAGGUGGGUGAGGAGAGUAUCCUAAGGCCAGCGAGAGAACUGUUGUUAAGGAACUCGGCAAAAUGACCCCGUAACUUAGGGAUAAGGGGUGCCACCAUCAGGUGGCCGCAGAGAAUAGGCCCAAGCGACUGUUUACCAAAAACAUAGGUUUCUGCUAAGUCGCAAGACGAUGUAUAGGAGCUGACGCCUGCCCGGUGCUGGAAG
rnacentral:rRNA from 1 species